UUUCCGUAGGUGAACCUGCGGAAGGAUCAUUAAAGAAUUUGCCCCGUCCUCUCGAGGAUGGGUCCUCUUCUAAACCGUGUAUACAUACCUUUGUUGCUUUGGCGGGCCGCCGUCUCGGCGUUGGCUUCGGCUGACUGUGCCCGCCAGAGAACCCCAACUCUUCUGUUUAGUAUUGUCUGAGUACUAUAUAAUAGUUAAAACUUUCAACAACGGAUCUCUUGGCUCUC
rnacentral:misc_RNA from 1 species